CAGCCGUAAACUAUGCGCGUUAGGUGUAUCGGUGACCACGAGUUACCGAGGUGCCGAAGGGAAACCGUGAAACGUGCCGCCUGGGAAGUACGGUCGCAAGGCUGAAACUUAAAGGAAUUGGCGGGGGAGGCACCACAACAGGUGGAGCCUGCGGGUUUAAUUUGGACUCAACGCCGGGAAGCUCACCGGAUAGGACAGCAGAAUGAUUGCCGGGCUGAAGACCCUGCAUGACUAGCUGAGAGGAGGUGCAUGGCGUCAGU
rnacentral:rRNA from 1 species